rnacentral:rRNA from 1 species
CCUACGGGAGACAGCAGUGAGGAAUAUUGGUCAAUGGGCGGGAGCCUGAACCAGCCAAGUCGCGUGAGGGAAGACGGUCCUAUGGAUUGUAAACCUCUUUAGGCGGGGAGCAAUGCCGGGCACGCGUGCCCGGAGGGAGAGUACCCGCAGAAUAAGCCUCGGCUAACUCCGUGCCAGCAGCCGCGGUAAUACGGAGGAUGCGGGCGUUAUCCGGAUUUAUUGGGUUUAAAGGGUGCGUAGGCGGAUUUUUAAGUCAGCGGUAAAAUGUCCGGGCUCAACCCGGGCCGGCCGUUGAAACUGGGGAGCUUGAGUGGGCGAGAAGUAUGCGGAAUGCGUGGUGUAGCGGUGAAAUGCAUAGAUAUCACGCAGAACUCCGAUUGCGAAGGCAGCAUACCGGCGCCCGACUGACGCUGAGGCACGAAAGCGUGGGGAUCGAACAGGAUUAGAUACCCCAGUAGUC